AUUGUUUGGAAUGCUGGGUUGAGUCCCGGCUGGACCGCGCCCCUCUCGGAAGUGUAGCCAGGAGUAGGGGUGUAGGAUGUGCAGCUGUGACCCGUCCCUGUGGACUGAAUUCUGCUUUUCCAGAAUCCUGCCCUUUCCAAAAGGAAGACGGUAUGAUUAAGUUCCAGGAAAGGGUGACAUUCAAGGACAUAGCUGUUAUCUUCACCAAGGAAGAGCUGGCAGUAUUGGAUAAAGCCCAGAUAAACCUGUACCAAGACGUGAUGCUGGAAAACUUCAGGAACUUCAUCUCAGUGGGGUCUUGCUCUGUCACCCAGGUGGCUGGAGUACAGUGGCCUGAUCAUGGCUCGCUGCUGAAGCCUUGAACUGCUGGGCUCAAGUGAUCCUCCUGCCUCAGCCUCCUGAGUAGUUGGGACUACAGGCAUAUACCACCACUUUCAGCUAAUGUUUUCUUUUAAAAAUUUACUUGUAGAGAUGGGGUCUUGCUUUGUUGCCCAGGUUAGUCUUAUUCUGGUUUCAAGCAAUCCUCCUACCUCAGCUUCCCAAAGUGCAGGGAUUACAAGUGUGGGCCACUGCACUCAGCCCACAAUGUCUUUUAUUUUUUCUUCAAAAACAAUGUCCUUUUCUGUUUUAAUUGACUUAUAAGUUUCUUCAUUUGGAUCAUGGUUUAUUCCUAGUUUUUCUUGCAUUAUAUUUUCCUGCCAGUUAUAGUUUGUAAACAGAACAGCCAUUCAAGUGCAAAUAAAACCAUCCCUGAAGUGUCAUUUUCUUACUGAGCAGGUGGAUAAGAGUGAAAUAUUUUAAAAAUUCUGUGUCAGUAGAAAUGAGGAAAUGAGUGUUCUUACAUAAGUUGGUGGGGAAAAAAAACAGGUACAAAGUUGCUGGAGAGGAUCUUGUCUAUAUGUAUCAGAUGUACAAUGUGCAUUGUCUUUGAGCCAAUGAUCCUGCUUCUCAGAAUGUAUUUUUAGGAUGUAAUUACAUGAGUGGAAAAAAAUGGUUUCAGAAAGAAAUAUGUUCUAAGAAUUUUGCAAUGAGAAGAUCGUAAAUGACCUGAAGCUUCAUGUAUAAGAGAUUAAGUAAAUUAGGGCAUCCCAUAUAAUGGAAUAACAUGGCUCCAUCAACAAUGAUCUAGACCUAUAAAAAUGUCCACAUAUUAUUGUCCAUGUCCACCACAUACUCCAGUCCUCCUACUUGCAAACAGUAGGUUAGAGAAAAAAUCUGGGAUACACAUUAUCCCAGGAAGCUUUUGGGGUUUAGAAUGGGUGCAACAUUCCCUCAUGACAGAAUCGGCCCUCAGCCUUAGUGGAGGUGUCCCAGGCAAUCCUCCAGUAUGGCCAGGAGCAGCCCUUGCAUAUCACAUUAAGCUUUUUAAAUAUAUGAUGCUAACAGGAUUGUCUCCCUACUUCAUAAAAUUGUUUGCUUUUCCUCUUGUAACAAAGUAGCAUGGAAAAAGCAGAAAUUAGUCUAGCUCCCAAUCAGUGGGAGCCAACUCAUUUACAAAUAUAGAUGCAGAGAUCCUAAAUAAAUAUGAGCAUGUCAAAUCCAAUGAUUUGAUAAAAGCGUAACAGACUCUGCUCAUAUAUAAUUUAUCCUAAAUAUGCUUAUCAGCUUCUGCCUCAUAACACACACAAGAACUGAGUAGCUCUAAAUACAAAUUUAUUUAGCUCAUGAUGUGUGAGCUGGCAAGUUCAGUUGGGCUUAGCUGGGCAGUUCUGGUGUGGGACAUGCUAGAUUAUCUUAACUGGGCUUUGUACAUGCAUCUGCAUUCAGCUGAUGGCUCAUCUGGGCCUGGCUGUUUUAUGAUGGUCAUAGAUGAGACAACGAAGUUCUCUCUGUCACCAUGGUCUCUCAUCGUCCAGAAGACCAAUCUAGGGUUGGUCCCAUAGUGCCAGGGUUUCAAGAGCAAAAGCUGUGAUCUCUUAAGGCCUUGUCAGAGAACAGGCUCAAUGAUACUUCCACCACAUUCUAAUGAUUAAAGCAAGUCACAACACUGGCCCAGAUUCAUGCGGUGGGAUUAAGACAAGAUAAAAAAUUUUGAGAUGUAAUCAUUGGAAGGAAAAAGAAGGUACUAUUUUUAUGUUAGAGAAUAAUGUUAUUUACUUAUAAAAUUCAAAUCCGCCUGUAAAAUUUGACCAAUUGAAGUCUGUUUUAAAAUUAUCACGUCAAAAAAUUGGUUUCAUACAAAAUUGGCACAUGAAAACUCAUAGCAUUACUAUGUACGAGUCUUUUAUAAAAUGUAGCCAAAGUGUUUCAUUCACAAUAACAAUUGUGUGCAAAGACCAGAAUUGUCCAAAGGUAAUUCUGGGAGUUCCCUUUGGGAUGCCUAGGUGGGGAGCUAUCUGGAGCCUCAGACUCCCACAUUCUUCAGUGGGAAAAGCUUUACAUGAGCUCAACUUCCCAGCGGCUUUCUCUUUCUGAUGGGAGGUGUUAGAACCUGGCUUUCUCAUGCAACUUCUGUGAAGCUCUGACAACUAAAGCCAGAUUGUCUGCUUUAGUCAAUCUGUUAGAUCAAUUAGUCAUUUGAUCUGACAACUAAAGCCAGAUUGUCUGCUUUAGUUAAGUAGUCCAGAUUACCUGCAUAGUCAAUUUGUUCCCUCACCAACAUGGAUGCCUUCACAAUUGCUCUUUAAGAAGGAUAAAAAGAUAGGGGUGAGGUGUGGUCUAUCUCCUGCUUCACCCAGGCCCUGGUGCUUCUUCAAGUAGCGUGAGAAAUUGUGGUCCUGUGCGUUCUCUUCCAGACCCUUAGCUUAUAUGUUUUCCCUAUAAAACUUAGUCCUAAUCCCAGCACUUUGGGAGGCCGAGGAGGGUGAAUCAUGAGAUCAGGAGUUUGAGAACAGCCUGGCCAACAUAGUGAAACUCCGUCUCUACUAAAAAUACAAAAAAUUAGCUGGGCAUAGUGGCAGGCACCUGUAAUCCCAGCUACUCAGGAGGCUGAGGCUUGAGCCCAGGAGGUGGAGGUUGCAAUGAGCCGAGAUCGCACCACAGCACUCCAGCCCAGGCGGCAGUGAGAGACUCUGUCUCAAAAAAAAAAAAAAAAAAAAAAAAAAAGAAAAAAAAGAAGUCCCUUAUGUGUGAUGAUAAAAUUUGAUGAAGAGCAACAUUGGUGGACUUACACUACCAGAGAUCAACAUUUAUUAUAAAUGUUCUAUAAUUAAUACAGUGUAGUAUUAGCUCAGGAGAGAAAAAAUAGAUCAAUGGAAAAGAAUAGGGAGUCUAAAAACAGAUCCACAUGUAUACAGUGAGUCAGUUUAUCAGCCUUGAAAUAUGUUGGAGAAAUAAUAGUCAUUUUAAUAACUGAUGCUGGGUUCACUGGCUACUUAACACUAGUUCUUCAUACAAUUGCAGGCAAUAAAUACAAAUAGCAUGCAGCCGGCAGACUGGGAUCAGUGGCUAUGCCUCCACUAGACUGCCCAUAGAAGCACAUAGUAACAGCUACCAAAGAUGUCUGAUCUGUCUUGUCUUUUUUUUAACUCAUUUUGUUCAGGUAUCAUUUACAUAAAGUGCAGACUUUAACUACAUUUGUUUUAACAAAUGUACAUAUCCUUGUAAAUAAUGCCCAUUCAACAUGUUAAACAUUUUAUUUACCCCCAAAAUUUCCCUUGUGCCCUUUCCCUUCAUUUCUUUCCAAAAAAGGAUAUAAUCACUGUUUUGGUUUCUAUCACCAUAUGUUGGUUUUGCCUAUUCUUGAACUUUAUAUAAAUGAAAUCAUACUGUAAGAUACUCUUGUAUUUGGCUUUUUUUCAUUCAACAUGGUUUUCUAAAUUAGUAAUUUAUAAUAAAGAGUACUGCAUAUUU
rnacentral:lncRNA from 10 species